UACGUAGGUGGCAAGCGUUGUCCGGAAUUACUGGGCGUAAAGCGCGCGUAGGCGGCUUUGUAAGUUAGAGGUGAAAGCCCGGGGCUCAACCCCGGAACUGCCUUUAAGACUGCAUCGCUUGAAUCCGGGAGAGGUGAGUGGAAUUCCGAGUGUAGAGGUGAAAUUCGUAGAUAUUCGGAAGAACACCAGUGGCGAAGGCGGCUCACUGGCCCGAUACUGACGCUGAGGCACGAAAGCGUGGGGAGCAAACAGG
rnacentral:rRNA from 1 species